rnacentral:rRNA from 1 species
AUUGAACGCUGGCGGCAUGCUUUACACAUGCAAGUCGAACGGCAGCGCGAGGAAAGCUUGCUUUCCUUGGCGGCGAGUGGCGAACGGGUGAGUAAUACAUCGGAACGUGCCCUGUAGUGGGGGAUAACUACUCGAAAGAGUAGCUAAUACCGCAUACAACCUGAGGGUAAAAGUGGGGGACCGCAAGGCCUCAUGCUAUAGGAGCGGCCGAUGGAAGAUUAGCUAGUUGGUAGGGUAAAGGCCUACCAAGGCGACGAUCUUUAGCGGGUCUGAGAGGACGAUCCGCCACACUGGGACUGAGACACGGCCCAGACUCCUACGGGAGGCAGCAGUGGGGAAUUUUGGACAAUGGGGGCAACCCUGAUCCAGCAAUGCCGCGUGAGUGAAGAAGGCCUUCGGGUUGUAAAGCUCUUUUGUUUGGGAAGAAAUCCUGGAUGCUAAUAUCAUUCGGGGCUGACGGUACCAAAAGAAUAAGCACCGGCUAACUACGUGCCAGCCGCCGCAGUAAAAC